rnacentral:rRNA from 1 species
UACGAAGGGGGGCUAGCGUUGCUCGGAAUCACUGGGCGUAAAGCGCACGUAGGCGGAUUGUUAAGUCAGGGGUGAAAUCCUGGAGCUCAACUCCAGAACUGCCUUUGAUACUGGCGAUCUCGAGUCCGGGAGAGGUGAGUGGAACUGCGAGUGUAGAGGUGAAAUUCGUAGAUAUUCGCAAGAACACCAGUGGCGGAAGGCGCUCACUGGCCCGGUACUGACGCUGAGGUGCGAAA